rnacentral:misc_RNA from 1 species
GCUUCAAGAGGAUGAACUUGAUUUAGAGUUGAUCAGGAAGGCAAAAGUUUUUCAUUAUGGUUCCAUAAGUCUGAUUACGGAGCCAUGCAAAUCAGCCCAUAUUGCAGCUGCAAAAGCUGCAAAGCAUGCUGGUGUGAUCUUAUCCUAUGAUCCCAAUUUGAGGCUUCCAUUGUGGCCAUCUGCAGAAAGUGCUAGAGAAGGAAUCCUUAGCAUAUGGAAUACUGCUGAUAUAAUUAAGAUAAGUGAAGAAGAGAUUUCGUUUUUGACACAAGGAGAAGAUCCUUAUGAUGAUAAUGUUGUCCGUAAGUUGUACCAUCCAAACCUCAAGUUACUCCUCGUCACAGAAGGUCCAGAAGGUUGCCGAUAUUACACCAAGGAUUUCAGUGGACGAGUUAAGGGUAUAAAGGUGGACGCUGUGGACACCACAGGUGCUGGAGAUGCUUUUGUAGCCGGAAUAUUGUCACAGCUAGCAUCUGAUGUCUCUCUGCUUCAGGAUGAGGGCAAGCUUCGAGAUGCCCUUAGUUUUGCUAAUGCCUGUGGUGCAUUGACCGUGAUGGAGAGAGGAGCAAUUCCAGCUUUGCCUACAAAAGAAGUAGUGUUGAACACCUUGCUCAAGUCAGUUGCAUAAUAUCCAUCCGACCUAUUAAUCGGUUGCCAUUUAAAUGCACUUGCAAAAAGAUCUCCAUGUGCUCCUUGCAUAAUUCUUGUAGGGUAAAAGAAUAUUGUAUAACCACAUUAGCCAAUAAUCGAGAAUAAUUUCUGAUAAAUAUGUGGUAGUUCAUAACCCACAUUAUUAAGCACAUGUAUUUAUUCAAGAUCAAUGU